GUCUGCUCUUUCCUCAGAAGCGGAGACGGUGUCGUGGUUCUUGUGUUCAUGUAUAGCACACAGCAGACAGACACACUUCUGAUCAGUGCGACAGAAGACAUCCAUCAGUUUCUCAUGAAGAGAGCAGGUUUUGCUCUGAAGAUCCGUGGCUUCGGUCAGCAGGUGUUUCUUCCAUCCGUGGAGAUCAUUGUGCUUCUCCAGGUGACUUCUGCAGAAUGAGGACACACAGGUGAGGCAGGAUUGCACAGCUUUGGUUCUUCUGGAGGUGCAGGAAUCACAGCUGACUCCAUGUGCUUCAGCAUCUUCAUCAUCCUCCUCCUUUGCUCUCAUCUUCAUCAGUUUCUCAGAAAGCUCCUUCAUCUGCAGCCAGUCAGUGACAACAGGUUUGUUGGGAAAGGGAAUAAUGACUGGGUUUCUGAAGACAUCCAGACAGACAGAACACCUGAGAGAUUCCCGAUCAUAUAAAGCUGCAGCUGCCAUUUUUGCUGGAUCCACAAACGAAACUUUGAGGGAUGCUUCAGUGUCGUGUGUUUCCACUAGAUGGACCCAUCGUCUUGAAGAAGCACUACAAAAGUUACAUUUUAA